rnacentral:tRNA from 1 species
UGGCUCAAAGGAGUAGAGCACCGGCCCCAUAUGCCGGAAGUGCUGGGUUCAAAACCAGC